rnacentral:rRNA from 1 species
UGGGGAAUAUUGCACAAUGGGCGCAAGCCUGAUGCAGCCAUGCCGCGUGUGUGAAGAAGGCCUUCGGGUUGUAAAGCACUUUCAGCGAGGAGGAAGGUGGGUGAACUUAAUACGUUCAUCAAUUGACGUUACUCGCAGAAGAAGCACCGGCUAACUCCGUGCCAGCAGCCGCGGUAAUACGGAGGGUGCAAGCGUAAUCGGAAUUACUGGGCGUAAAGCGCACGCAGGCGGUUUGUUAAGUCAGAUGUGAAAUCCCCGGGCUCAACCUGGGAACUGCAUUUGAAACUGGCAAGCUAGAGUCUCGUAGAGGGGGGUAGAAUUCCAGGUGUAGCGGUGAAAUGCGUAGAGAUCUGGAGGAAUACCGGUGGCGAAGGCGGCCCCCUGGACGAAGACUGACGCUCAGGCUGCGAAAGCGUGGGGAGCAAACAGGAUUAGAUACCCUGGUAGUCCACGCUGUAAACGAUGUCGAUUUUGGCAGGUUGUGCCCUUGAGGCGUGGCUUCCGGAGCUAACGCGUUAAAGUCGACCGCCUGGGGGAGUACGGCCGCAAGGUU